rnacentral:rRNA from 1 species
UACGUAGGGUGCGAGCGUUGUCCGGAAUUAUUGGGCGUAAAGGGCGCGUAGGCGGUUUGCUAAGUUGGAUGUGAAAACUCUGGGCUUAACCCAGAGCCUGCAUCCAAAACUGGCAAGCUGGAGUUUUGGAGGGGGAAGCGGAAUUCCUGGUGUAGCAGUGAAAUGCGUAGAUAUCAGGAGGAACACCGGUGGCGAAGGCGGCUUCCUGGACAAAAACUGACGCUGAGGCGCGAAAGCUAGGGGAGCAAACAGG